AGUCACUGACAUUAGAUACCCCGGUAGUCCAGGGUGUAAACGCUGCAGACUUGGUGUUGGGAACCCUUCGGGGGUGCUCAGUGCCGGAGAGAAGUUGUUAAGUCUGCUACUUGGGAGUACGUCCGCAAGGAUGAAACUUAAAGGAAUUGGCGGGGGAGCACCGCAACGGGAGGAGCGUGCGGUUUAAUUGGAUUCAACGCCGAAAAACUCACCAGCAGCGACUGUUACAUGAAAGUCAGGUUGAUGACCUUACUAGAUUUUCAG
rnacentral:rRNA from 1 species